CCCAGCUCAAAGGCAGUGACCCAGACCCAUGAUUCUCAAAACGUGCUUUUCCUAGUACAAGAGAUGCCAGUAUCUCCCAGGAACUUGUCCCAGGGGAGAGUGCAAAUGCAGUUCCCCAUUACCACAAAUUAUGAAGUCGAGUUUCCCACCUUUGGGGAAAUUGCAGGGAUCAGCACAUCCAGAGUACAAUGGAGAAGACUCGCCCUGGGAAAACCACCUUUGUGAUCAUGGUCUCUCCCCUGAUGGAAUACAAUUGGAAAAACUGGUUAUUUUCCCAAGGCUUUGACUGGAAUGGUGUGCUCUCCUCUAAGGAAUCAAACUUAAGAAGCCAAU